UACAGAGGGUGCAAGCGUUAAUCGGAAUUACUGGGCGUAAAGCGUGCGUAGACGGUUAUGUAAGUCGGGUGUGAAAGCCCCGGGCUCAACCUGGGAAUGCCAUUCGAGACUGCAUAGCUAGGGUGCGGAAGAGGGAAGCGGAAUUUCCGGUGUAGAGGUGAAAUUCGUAGAUAUUGGGAAGAACACCGGUGGCGAAGGCGGCUAUCUGGACCGACAUUGACGCUGAGGCGCGAAAGCGUGGGGAGCAAACAGG
rnacentral:rRNA from 1 species